rnacentral:rRNA from 1 species
UACGUAGGGUGCAAGCGUUAAUCGGAGUUACUGGGCGUAAAGUGUGCGCAGGUGGCUGAGCAAGUCGAGUGUGAAAUCCCCGGGCUUAACUUGGGAAUUGCGCUCGAAACUACUUGGCUCGAGUGUGGCAGAGGAAGGUGGAAUUCCACGUGUAGCGGUGAAAUGCGUAGAGAUGUGGAGGAACACCGAUGGCGAAGGCAGCCUUCUGGGCCAACACUGACGCUCAUGCACGAAAGCGUGGGGAGCAAACAGG